rnacentral:rRNA from 1 species
UUUUGAUUAUAAUUUAAAGUCUAACCUGCUCUAUGAAAUUAUUUUAAAUGGCCGCGAUAUCUUGAUCGUGCAAAGGUAGCAUAAUAAUUAGUUUUUUAAUUAAGAACUGGUAUGAAUGGUUGAACGAGAAAAAAACUGUCUCAAUUUAAGUUAAAUUAAAAUUUUAUUUUUAAGUUAAAAAGCUUAAAUUUUUUUAAAAGACGAGAAGACCCUAUAGAGUUUUAUAUAAUUAAUUAUUUUUAAAAAUUUUGGAAUUUAAAGUUUAAUUAUAAUAGGUUGUAUUUAGUUGGGGUGACUAAAAAAUUUAAAAAACUUUUUUUAAAUUUUCAACAUUAAUUUAUGAAUAAAUGAUCC